rnacentral:rRNA from 1 species
GGAUUCCCCUAGUAACUGCGAGUGAAGCGGGAAAAGCUCAAAUUUAAAAUCUGGCAGUGUUUAACUGUCCGAAUUGUAGUCUGGAGAAGUGCUUUCUGCGCUGGACCAUGUAUAAGUCUCUUGGAACAGAGCGUCAUAGAGGGUGAGAAUCCCGUCUUUAACAUGGACUACCAGUGCUUUAUGAUGCGCUCUCAAAGAGUCGAGUUGUUUGGGAAUGCAGCUCAAAAUGGGUGGUGAAUUCCAUCUAAAGCUAAAUACAGGCGAGAGACCGAUAGCGAACAAGUACCGUGAGGGAAAGAUGAAAAGCACUUUGGAAAGAGAGUUAAACAGUACGUGAAAUUGCUGAAAGGGAAACGUUUGAAGUCAGUCGCGUUGUUUAGAACUCAGCCUUGCAUUUGCUUGGUGCAUUUUCUAAUUAACGGGUCAGCAUCAAUUUUGAUUAUCAGAAAAGGGCCGGGGUAAUGUGGCACCUCCGGGUGUGUUAUAGACCUUAGUCAAAUGUGAUAGUCGGGAUUGAGGAACGCAGCACGNCCCGCWMGGGGCAGGGGUUUAUNCCCACUUACGUGCNUUAGGAUGUUGACAUAAUGGCUUUAACCGANCCCGUCUUGAAACACGGACCAAGGAGUCUAACAUGGGUGCAAGUGUUUGGGUGGAAAACCCGAGCGCGCAAUGAAAGUGAAAGUUGAGACCUCUGUCACGGAGGGCAUCGACGCCCGGACCUGACGUUCUCUGAAGGAUCCGCGGUAGAGCAUGUAUGUUGGGACCCGAAAGAUGGUGAACUAUGCCUGAAUAGGGUGAAGCCAGAGGAAACUCUGGUGGAGGCUCGUAGCGAUUCUGACGUGCAAAUCGAUCGUCAAAUUUGGGUAUAGGGGCGAAAG